rnacentral:rRNA from 1 species
CAAUAGCGUAUAUUAAAGUUGUUGCGGUUAAAAAGCUCGUAGUUGGAGUUCUGCCAGGUGCCGCCUGUCCGCCCCAGUGGUGAGUACGUGGCGCGCAUUUGGCCCUUUCAAGGGGAGCGUAUCUGCACUUUAUUGUGUGGUGCGGGAUCCUUGACUUUUACUUUGAGGAAAUAGGAGUGUUCCAAGCAGGCUCUCGUCGUGCACAGCUCAGCAUGGAAUAAUAGCAUUGGACCUCGAUUCUAAGCUGUUGGUUGCCAGAAGCGAGGUAAUGAUGAAGAGGGAUAGUUGGGGGCAUUCGUAUUUAACUGUCAGAGGUGAAAUUCUCGGAUUUGUUAAAGACGGACUACUGCGAAAGCAUCUGCCAGGGAUGUUUUCAUUGA